rnacentral:rRNA from 1 species
UACAGAGGGUGCGAGCGUUGUUCGGAAUUACUGGGCGUAAAGCGCGCGCAGGCGGCUCUUAAGUCUGACGGUGAAAUGCCGGGGCUCAACCCCGUGCCCGCCGCGGAUACUGGAGAGCUGGAGACACGUAGAGGCAAGCGGAAUUCCGGGUGUAGCGGUGGAAUGCGUAGAGAUCCGGAAGAACACCGGAGGCGAAGGCGGCUUGCUGGGCGUAGUCUGACGCUGAGGCGCGAAAGCGUGGGGAGCGAACAGG